GCUGGGAGAGCGCUACGCUGGCAGCGUAGAGGUCAGGGGUUCGAGCCCCCUUGGCUCCAUACCUUUAAACCCU
rnacentral:tRNA from 1 species